GCAAAAAUGAGUAGAACGUUGUAAGUCUUCAAAAUAGCUUUGCCAGAAUCAAUUGGGUUUCAUUUCAUUUAAGUUAAAGACCUGUCUAUUCGGAGAGAACAAGAACCUUUCCAAGAAUCUCAAAUUCUAUUUCAACCGACUUUUUUUUCACUUUAUAUAUUGCUCACAGCUUACUCUCCAGUAACAAACUUCAGCACUUGCCAAGGUUCAAAAACCUCUCCGAGUUAAAAAUAUUAUACCUGUAUAACAACAGCCUCGUACACCUGUCACCUGAUCAGUUCCAAGGCCUGUCCAAACUGGAAGAACUGGCUGUUUACGAAAACAAUAUUGACUACCUGCCACAUGAAGUUUUUAAGGGCAUGAAAAACAUGA